GGCCAGUUGGGAGCGUGCGCUACAUCAUUGUCCCAAUGGACAAAACAUAAAAGAAACGCUAGUAAAGGGCAAAAUGGGCCCAAAAGAGAGACACUCCGUCGCUGCCUUCGUCUACUACGCUGGGCCGAGCUUCUCUCUCUCUUGCUUUCCGAUGAAAACAGACUAAAUUGUAUAUAUGUACUUGUCCACGACUUUGAACUACUUGACAACCAUGCCUGAAGCUUGUGAUUGGACCUGGCGCGUAGGAAUCUGGAAGAUCCAAGCAUUUUCCUGUCCGGAAUUGAUUUUUCUGAUGGAUGCAGAUUCAGAAAGAACUUCACAAGAUGUGCCCCUCUUUGCUGCACGUGGCCAUGCAGAUGGUGGUUUAGUGAUUGAUCAUUCUAUCCACCAAGUAGCAUGUGUGCUGUGCAGAAGAAUUUUUGCACCUGACAAUGAUGAUCUUGAGACUGUCAGUAUAUGCGGGGACUGUAAAUUUUUGCUUCUCGAAGAUGUAGGGGACUCCACUCAGGAUUCUUUUAGGAGGAGGCCACACAGAAGAAGAAGAACUAGUUACAGCAGUUCUGAGUCAAUUGAAAAUCUUUUUUCACAACAGUUAUCACAUAUGAUUAAUUUGGCUAGGCAAAACCAGUCCAUUGUAUCUGGUCUUGACAAUCCAUCUGUAGAUGGAGAUGCUUCUGUUAGGCUGUUGCGGCACAUAAGCUCCCAUACAACCCCAACCAGUUCUAUAAGAUGGCGGCGGGUUCUCUCAGAUACUGGAAGUGAGCGUCUUGAUAAUUGGGAUUCUCUUUAUAGCGAGAAUGAAACAACUCCCAGUGUCAAUUGGUCCAGGGUUUAUCUUGGUGAGAGUGAUGCCAUUUCUUUUAGCGCAUAUGGAGGGGACUCUGAUGUAGAUGUUGAUGGACAUAGUUUUGUGGAUAUUAUUGAACCAGAUGAGGGAAGCAAUUUUGACAGUGAUACUGACAUUGAUCCAAUGCAUGCUGGUCUCAACCAAUGGAACUCAGAUGACGAGGAAGAGGAAGAAGAAGAAGAUGGUGAAUGGGAAGAAGCUGAUGUUGAGGACAACACAACUGAAUCUGUGGGGUGGCAGGACCAAGGCUGCGAAAUUAUUUAAUUUCAAGUCCAAAUGAAGGCAGUGGCUCUAGUAAUUGGCGUCAACAGUUAUUUUCUCCUGAAUUUGAGGGCCUGUUUCACUGGAGAAUCAGGCAAGAUAGACAAGCAUAUAACAGGGAGAUCUUUGCUAACUUAGGAGAAUCAGAAUUACCACAAUAUGUAAGAAAUUCUGGGGAUUAUCUUGAUGCAAGAGGCUUUGAAGAAUUUCUUGAACAUCUUGCAGAGACUGACAGCUCAAGAAGAGAAGCACCCCCUGCAGCUGUGCCCUUUGUGAAUAGCCUCCCUUGUGUGAUCAUUAAUGAGGAACAUGAGAAGAAUGAUGGUUUAGCUUGUGCAAUUUGCAAGGAUGUUUUAUCCAUUGGCACUGAAGUUAACCAGCUUCCUUGCCUUCACCUAUAUCACCCUUCCUGUAUUUUUCCAUGGCUGAGUACUCGAAAUUCAUGCCCUCUCUGUAGGUUUGAGCUACCGACUGAUGACAAAGAAUAUGAGAAGGGUAAGCAAAACAAUAAUAAUAGAUCGGGGAUUCCUGAAAUUCAGCAGCAGGAUGCAAGCGAGGAAAGUUCCUCUUAUGUUUCAGAUGGAGCUGGUGAAUUUGACCAAGGUGGAAUGGAGCAAAGGGAGCUUCUAGACAUGAACCCGAUUGUAAGUAGCUCUGGAAGAGAGCGCAGAAGUAGAUGGUUUUUUCUUGCUGCUGGUCCAAUUGUCAGUCUUGCGGGUAUUGUCCUUGUAUUGUGGCUAGGAAAUCCUCAAAGAAGAGUGCCAACUCGUCAUUGGAACUCUCCUGAGACUGGGCUUCAUCAAAUUCAAGUUCUUGGCUCUUCCAUGCCCAACCAAAGGGGUAAUAGAAGUCGGAGAUGGUGCUCUUUUUUCUAAGUUAUUCCAUGCUUGACUGAUGGGCCUAACCCAGAAUGUUCAUACAUGCUUAUCACCAAGUAGAUAAGCAAACAAACAAUUAUAGUAAUUUUAUAAUUUUUUUAGAAAUUCUAAUGCUUGGUUAGUGUCUAUUUGGGGAGUUCAAUCAGUAAGGUUUCUGAAUGCAGACCCUUUUGUUGCUUUCUUUUCAAUGACUGGUAUUAAUUACCAGUGGAGCCAAUGUGAGGGAGUUGCUGCCUUGGUGGUUCCAUGGAAAAUGGUCUUUUCCUCCUUUCUUGGCUGGAGAGAUGUUUGGUAGCGUUUGCUGGAAAUUUUAAAUGAUCUGCUUUUCAUUUUAUCAAAUUUUGGUGGUGUUAUUGUAAGUAUUUAGGAGAGGUUGAGGUUUAUUUGGAACUUGUAAAGAAACUAUGCAUGAUUAGGCGUUGCAUUUGUGUGUCAUUAACUAGCAACAUCAAUGAAGCUUUAAUGGAAGAUCAUACGUCUGUUUUCGAUUUGUUA